CAGCCGCCACGGUAAAACGUAGGUGGCAAGCGUUGUCCGGAAUUAUUGGGCGUAAAGGGCUCGCAGGCGGUUUCUUAAGUCUGAUGUGAAAGCCCCCGGCUCAACCGGGGAGGGUCAUUGGAAACUGGGAAACUUGAGUGCAGAAGAGGAGAGUGGAAUUCCACGUGUAGCGGUGAAAUGCGUAGAGAUGUGGAGGAACACCAGUGGCGAAAGCGACUCUCUGGUCUGUAACUGACGCUGAGGAGCGAAAGCGUGGGGAGCAAACAGGAUUAGAUACCCCCGUAGUCCCUGUCUCUUAUAU
rnacentral:rRNA from 1 species